AUUGAACGCUGGCGGCAUGCCUUACACAUGCAAGUCAAACGGCAGCACGGGGCAACCUGGUGGCGAGUGGCGAACGGGUGAGUAAUGCAUCGGAACGUACCUUUCAGUGGGGGAUAACGUAGCGAAAGUUACGCUAAUACCGCAUAUUCUGUGAGCAGGAAAGCAGGGGAUCGCAAGACCUUGCGCCGAUUGAGCGGCCGAUGUCAGAUUAGCUAGUUGGUGAGGUAAAGGCUCACCAAGGCGACGAUCUGUAGCGGGUCUGAGAGGAUGAUCCGCCACACUGGAGCUGAGACACGGUCCAGACUCCUACGGGAGGCAGCAGUGGGGAAUUUUGGACAAUGGGGGCAACCCUGAUCCAGCCAUGCCGCGUGAGUGAAGAAGGCCUUCGGGUUGUAAAGCUCUUUCGGCCGGGAAGAAAUCGCACGGGCUAAUACCCUGUGUGGAUGACGGUACCGGAAUAAGAAGCACCGGCUAACUACGUGCCAGCAGCCGCCGUAACAC
rnacentral:rRNA from 1 species